GUCAUGAAGCCACAAACCUCCUUUUCAAGGAAUCCGAGUUCAUGGAAAGAUCUAUCUUCAAUACAGAAACCAUAAAAACAAUAAGGCUUGAUAGAGAAACCAGUAAGUCAUCCCUUCGGGGAAUGUAUAAUGUCUCCCACCGUAUUCACUGCUACCUAGCUCCCAACAAGUUAAUAAUACAUACCUCAAGGGGUGGUACGAUGAUGCUAUAGAGGUUGAUGAGUUACAGAAGUAUUGAUUUGGUGGAGAUGAGAUGAUAAGUAACCGAUAAACGCGGCUUAAUUUAUCAAAGGGAAAAACGUUUAUAUGGAUACAAGACUCGUGAG